rnacentral:lncRNA from 1 species
UUUAAAGUGGUGAGUGGCCUAUACUCCUAAAACCCUGCCUGCUUGCUCAGGAAAUGCUAACAUUCUGGAAAGAGAAGAAGCCCUCCUCCAGCUCAGGACAGAUAAAAGGAAGAUAAUUACAAACUCUAAACAUUGAGGUAAGAAUGAAAGAAAUAGGAGUUCAAAGAAGAUUUGGGAAAAUUAUGAAUGACAGCUGGCAUGAAUAUAUCAAAACUAAGACACAGGCACUGAAACCGUACCUCUUCUAGCUUGAUCAUGGUUGGUUUUGUUAGCAAUAACUAUAAUACAGUCCUAGUAACAGACUAGACUGGUAAACACACGAGACUAAGUAAAUGGGAGGAACCCUUUCCUACCUAACGCUGCUUUAGAACAGUUUUUAAGCAAAAUAAUAAUAAUAAUAAUAAUAAUACUUUUAAUUUAGUUUUUAAUGAGAUACAAAAAUAUGUACUGUCUCUGUAGAUAAAUAUCUGUAAGAUAGUCACCUCCCUAAGCCUUCUCUCUCCCUUUGGAACUUGCCUGAUCUCAACUAGCUUCCCACAGGGGACUCUCUCGCCACCACAAGUAUUUCAGAGACCCCAGGAAGAAACCAGUAAGUACAGGCAUAUACCAACCUUUAGAUUGUACUAACUCAGGGAUAACAAAAUCAAGUCUGCUGAGAGCUUACCGGCUUGCAUCAGUUUACUGGAGAAUCCUUUAACUUUGAUCUCUGUGAGAUGAAAUGCAGACCUUGCCUUUGUAGGGUGGGGUGUUUGUUGUUGGUUUUGGCAUUUCUAUCUUAAGUUUAUUGACUUCUGUCAGGUCAGUUUGGUGUUGAAAUUCAUGUCUAGGCUUCUAGGCAAACAGACGCUGACUAUAAUGAUGAUUUUGUAUCCCUCAAAGUUGUUAUAGUUGGAAAAUGAUUUUUUUCAGCUCUACUAACAAUGUGACGUUGGAAUUGAGAUCUUUUCUUUAGGAGGUGCCCCUUGCCUUCAUCUGCGUGCAGGCCUUGACAGUUCCCCUGUCUCCUCUGGGUGCUUGUGUUCCUAUAUACAUGGAAUAACUGGGAUUUUGUUCCUAAAAAUUACAGAAGUAACAUUUUGUGAUGCAUUGGGGUUUUUUUUUUGUAGCCGUUUAUUCAUUUUUUUUUCUGUUUUGAGGCUGUCUCGUGUUGAUAUAUGUAAACGAGUUCUUUUGAAAUGUGGUCCUGCAUCCCAUUGGUACAGUAUUGCUCUCUCUUGUUGGUGAAUAUUUGGAGCAUCAUUUGUGUGCUCCUAUAAAUAAUGCCUCGGUGACUACCCUUAGAAUUCCUUAGACACGUGUGGGGUUUUAAAGCAUGUGUUUGAAGUGCUGACUUAGAGGCCACAUGUAUCGGUUAUAUGUAUACUAAUAAAUGUUUAAAAUACCCCCAGUUCACAAACCUGUAUCUAUGAGAAGGCUCAUUGUCCUGUAUUAACACUUAUAGCGUCGGAUUUUAAACUUCAGUCAAAUUUAUGAAGAUGAAAUGUUAACAAAUAAUUUUCUGAUUUGUAUUCCCCUGAACCUUCAUUAUAUUGAGCAUAUUGCCAUACAUUUUUGGUUUGUAAAUAAAUCUCUUUCAUGAUGGGGGAAGGGAAAAAGAAAGAGAAAGAGAGAGAAGGGCUAGGAGAGAGAAACUGAACUUGGUGAAGUCCCUCAUAUUCACUGACUGUGUCUACUCCAUGCCAGGCACUGUCUAAACUCUAGAGACACAACUGAGAACAAAACAGUCCUGUAACUUCAACCAGUUUUCUUUAAGAUGAAGUAGGAUGUUGAAGAGGAACGCUCUCGGGCAUUUUAGCCAGAACCCCCCAAAGGUGAAGGACCACACAAAACAUUUUAAGGGCGUAGCGUUGGUGUAAUUAGGUGCUUCCUUGACCUACGUGGCAAGGACAAGGACUUGCUAAGAGACUGAAGGCGUUGCCCAGGAGAGCCAGUGCUCACUGUCUGCAGCUGUGAAAGGAGACUGGUGCAGAGCAGAGAAGUUCUGCCAUUGUUGACCCCAUUGCAGUAUGUUUGCAAAGCCCAGAUCCUGGAGGAAUGGGUGUUGUUGCUAAAGCACCUGUGCAGUGUGGGCAGAGAAAAGAGUAGCAUGCAUAGCCUUCUGGAGCCAGUGUUACUGGAGUGGGUGGAAGCGAACUCGAGCAAGCCAGCAAAGGACCUGAGAACUGUUGGAACAAGUGUGUGUUCAGGUGAGAGAACAGAGCAGAACUACCCCAGCCCAGAGCAGACCAGCAGAGGACUGGGGAACCAAGGAAGAGUAAGCUUUCAGGAGCAGCAGUGGGGACGUCUGCUUUCAUCCAUCUGACACAAGCAUGCAUCCUGGUUCAGCUUUAACUACAUACAUGACAUCAGUUUCCCAAACCUGAAUGCUUUUCUUACAGUGUAGGUAAAGGUCAGUAUGAUGGCUCAGAGGGUAAAGGCCUUUGCCACACAAGCCUGACAACCCGUGUCCAACCCCUGGGACCCAAGGUGGAAAGAGACAACCAACUCCCAGAGGUUGUCCUGUGACCUCUACCUACAUGCCAUGACUUCAUGGUAUGGACACCCCACCCCCAGACAAACAUUCAAUAACAAAUAAAACUAUGUUAAUU